rnacentral:tRNA from 1 species
GCCCGCGUAGCUCAGUUGGUAGAGCACCGCAUUCGUAAUGCGGAUGUCGUUGGUUCGAUCCCGACCGCGGGCU